rnacentral:lncRNA from 1 species
CAAUCGCUAUGGGUACCUUUUUCUUUAUAUGCUGGGCUACACGCUGAUGUCGCAGGUGAAGGGAAUUUAAAAUUCAAAAUUUUAAAACAAACCCAAAAUUGUUGGGUCAAGACCUGAACCGACCCAACACUAAAACGAAACAAAACCUCCAUUUCAUUAAUUUCCCCCAAUCCUCUUGAACGACAGAAAAUCCUUGGAGGUGAAUCUGAAGUUCAAAGAUGGCUUCCAUCGCCGCCCGGAACUUCUCCUUUUAAACGCCACCUUUGGAUCCAAUAAAGUCAUCGCCACCCAAACACCACCACCACCACGAACACCACCACUGCACAAUCCCCACCCACGAACUGAAAAACACAUCCAAAAACCCUCAUUAGAUUGUGGAGCUGCAAAUCGACCACAGCAUGUGACAAGGCUUAAUCGACAAUGAGCAUCGCUAUGGGCAGCUUAUCAUGCUUGGGCUGGACUAUCUUUCCACUAAGAAGGGAUGCCCGUUGUGAAGGUUAUAAAUAUCUACACGAAUGCAGAGAGAAGAUGGGCGGCUAAUUUGGGGAAAAGACAUACAUGCAAAGUUGCUGGAGAUAAAAGAUGAGCUGUUAGGAAUUAAAAAGAAGGGAAGCAGACAUAUAUAUGGGAGAUUUGCGACUGUUGAAAAUGAGAAAACAUAGGGUUGCAACUGGGACAAUUAAAAAGCAGUAGAGAGGAGAUGGAAAAUUUUCAAAUUCUUGUAAAUAAAUUUAUCAAUUAUUGUGCAAAAAUUGGGAAAUUAAUCACGUUUCGUCAAAAUUUGUGUUCUUCACUUUUGUAUAUGGGAAGACACUGUAAUUUUCAUCUACUACUAUCAAUGUGACUUUAGUAUUUGUCCUUCAUUUGUUGGUGUUAAAUUUGGUGUUCAUUCGGUUGAUGGUGCUGUUUAGUUUGGUGUUAGUUGUUGGUGUUAAAUUGGUGUUCAUUCUAUUAAAUUUGGUCAUUAUGAACUUAGUAUUGCAGGAAGAAUUUGUUUCUAGUUCUUGUAAAGUAGCCUCUUGUGGUCAUUGUGAAAUUAGUAUUGCAAGAUGAAUUUGGAAUUGCAGGAAGAACAUGCUAUUGCUU